UGGGGAAUAUUGGACAAUGGGCGAAAGCCUGAUCCAGCCAUGCCGCGUGUGUGAAGAAGGUCUUCGGAUUGUAAAGCACUUUAAGUUGGGAGGAAGGGCAUUAACCUAAUACGUUAGUGUUUUGACGUUACCGACAGAAUAAGCACCGGCUAACUCUGUGCCAGCAGCCGCGGUAAUACAGAGGGUGCAAGCGUUAAUCGGAAUUACUGGGCGUAAAGCGCGCGUAGGUGGUUUGUUAAGUUGAAUGUGAAAUCCCCGGGCUCAACCUGGGAACUGCAUUCAAAACUGACUGACUAGAGUAUGGUAGAGGGUGGUGGAAUUUCCUGUGUAGCGGUGAAAUGCGUAGAUAUAGGAAGGAACACCAGUGGCGAAGGCGACCACCUGGACUAAUACUGACACUGAGGUGCGAAAGCGUGGGGAGCAAACA
rnacentral:rRNA from 1 species